GCUCCCGUAGCUCAAGUGGAUAGAGCGGCGGUUUCCUAAACCGUUGAUCCCCGUUCGAGUCGGGGCGGGAGCACCA
rnacentral:tRNA from 1 species